GUCGCCGUCCGGCCCAGCACGGCCUCCGCGAGCAACCGUGAGUUCCGAGCCGAGCGGGCUGCGCCCCAGCGCGCGCGGGCUCCGGCCGUCGGGAACCAGAGGGAGCGGCCGGGCCGGCUGGCGACCGGAGAUCGAGGCCCGCGGGAGGUCGGAGCAGCGGCGCGCCGCACGUGCGGAGACCCGCCCUGAGUGCCAUGGCGCGCGGUUCCUCCGGCCCUCGCACCUCCCUUUAGCCACGGCGGCGCGACCCGGGGCGGUCCCCCGGCCGCGGGGCAUGGAGCCGCACGUGCUGGGCGCCGGGCUCUACUGGCUGUUGCUACCCUGCACACUCCUGGCGG
rnacentral:lncRNA from 1 species